rnacentral:ribozyme from 1 species
AUCGCGCAAAAAUGCUGCCUCCACGCGGCGCGCGAUGGGCAACGAAUAUAAAUUAUUCGGCCAAAUGCAUCA